UACGAAGGGGGCUAGCGUUGCUCGGAAUCACUGGGCGUAAAGCGCACGUAGGCGGACUCUUAAGUCGGUGGUGAAAUCCUGGAGCUCAACUCCAGAACUGCCUUCGAUACUGGGAGUCUUGAGUCCGGGAGAGGUGAGUGGAACUGCGAGUGUAGAGGUGAAAUUCGUAGAUAUUCGCAAGAACACCAGUGGCGAAGGCGGCUCACUGGCCCGGUACUGACGCUGAGGUGCGAAAGCUAGGGGAGCAAACAGG
rnacentral:rRNA from 1 species